GUGGGUACGCGUCCCUGCUGACUCCUCUCACCCCAGAGGGCCAAGGCGGGCUCGUGGAGCCUCCGCCCUGAUGGUGCCCUCGUCGGGGCUGCUGAGGACAGAGGGGGAGGCGGGCGGGGUGGGAGCCCGAUUGGCCGCCUGCUGCCCAGCCUGCCCUCAGCCGCACGAGCAGACCUUCAGGCCGCAGGGCGUAACUUUGAUGAGUCCAGAAUCUCGAGAUGACAGAAGGCCAGGGCUGAGCCAAGGCCAGAGCUGUCUAGCUCUUGCCAACCAGGGGAUGACACGGAGCGUGGAGUCCUGCAGCCCCUGUCCUCGCUGCCCUCUGCAGCCCCUCUCGUCUGCCAGUUGGACUCCCCGCAGGGAGAUGGCCCUGGGCUCACACCUGCUGUUGGUCCACAGAUGUUCGUGAGUCUCUGCCUUCUGUGUUCGUCUUUUUCCAAAAGCGGCCCUGAGCUGGGUGCCAGCACCGUCACCACCACCGCCCUGCUGUAGCUCUGCACAGGUCCUCCUGGCUGCCUCUCAGC
ensembl:lncRNA